UGCAAAUCCCAAAAGACUUUCUUGAUUUGCGUUGAAGAGGAUUUCCCACUCUUCUCAAACUCUGCCAUUGAUAGAUCUCUAAGUCAUGAAGCAAAGGAAACAUUUCUCUCAGCCAUUGUUGGAGAAGGGCGUGCUGAGUGGUUAGAUAAAGGCCAUAGGAAAUGUCUGAUUCUGUGGCACCGGAUUCAAGAUUGGGCAGAUAUUAUUCUUCAGUUUGUGAGUCACAUGUGAAUUAAUCU